rnacentral:lncRNA from 1 species
CAUGUAUCUGAUAAGGGCCUAGUAUCCAAAAUAGUAUAAAGACCUCCUGCAAUUCAACAAUAAAAAGACAAAUAAUCAAAUUUUUAAAUAAGCAAUGAAUCCAAAUCAAGAAGAAAUCCCUGAUUUACCUGAAAAAAAGUUCAGGAGGUUAGUUAUUAAGCUAAUCAGGGAGGCACCAGAGAAAGGUGAAGCCCAAUGCAAGGAAAUCCAAAAAAUGAUACUAGAAGUGAA